CAGUAGCCGCGGUAAUACGUAGGGUGCGAGCGUUAAUCGGAAUUACUGGGCGUAAAGCGUGCGCAGGCGGUUCGUUAAGACAGAUGUGAAAUCCCCGGGCUUAACCUGGGAACUGCAUUUGUGACUGACGGGCUAGAGUAUGGCAGAGGGGGGUAGAAUUCCACGUGUAGCAGUGAAAUGCGUAGAGAUGUGGAGGAAUACCGAUGGCGAAGGCAGCCCCCUGGGCCAAUACUGACGCUCAUGCACGAAAGCGUGGGGAGCAAACAGGAUUAGAUACCCUUGUAGUCCCUGUCUCUUAUAU
rnacentral:rRNA from 1 species